rnacentral:lncRNA from 1 species
CUGAAAUGCAGUCGACUUUAGCGUUUGAUAGUUCAUUGAUAACAUUCUGGCGUAUCACAAACAAACAACUUGUUACGUCUCAUUUCAUUGGCCGAAAGAUUUAAAACAACAACAAUGUAAUAAGCGUGCACGUGAAUUGACACAGGUGACCGACAAUGGAAUUUACUAUGUUACUACGAACGUAAAAACAAUGAUUUGUAUAGUUUACAAACCUUUGGUCAAAAGAAAUAAAUAAAUGUUUUAUUAACUUCAAAAAGUGGGGUCGAAAUAUUAUACUGAUAGUUAUUAACUUCAAAUAGUGGGGUCGAAAUAUUAUACUGAUAGUUUGUUUUAAGUAAUAUUCUAAGUUCUUUGCAUGCAGCAACUCAAUUAUCUUGUACCCGGCAUGAUGAGAAAUAUAAGGAUAAAAUAAAAUACAUGUGCCGCUUUUAUACGGAUGAAUAUAUGAACCACUUUUAAUUUCUUUCAUACUGACGAUAGGUUAUAAUCCUAACAAUGUCGUAGUCACUUAUAAUAAGUAUCUCAUAAUACUGAUCCAUUACAAUCAUUAAUCAGUGGUUGCACUGACAUUCCUCUUUUAUUAUUUUCAUGCUAUAAAACAUACACACAGUACAAAAAUGUAGCUAUAAGCGUACCAUAAACGGAGGAAAUUGUCCCCCAAAGAUAGAAACAAAAUAACUUUAAUCGUAUCAUUGGUGCACCUGAAUGAAUUCAGUGAAGGCAUGUUGUUGUAAUAAAUUGAAUGUUACAUCGGCGAAGAUUAUUUCUUAUGCAUGUGUGGAACUAAAUAAUAAAUUAAUACUUGUGAGAAAUCGUAGUUUAUAAGGAACAAUUCUCUUGUUUGAAUUCGGGGCCUUUUAUAGCUGACUAUGCGGUAUAGGGCUUUGCUCAUUAUUGAAAGCCGUAAGGUGACCUAUAGUUGUUAAUUUCUGUGUCAUUUUGGUCUCUUGUGGAUAGUUGUCUCAUUGGCAAUCAUACCACAUCUUCUUUUUUUAAAUAUAAAUGUACUGUUUUCGAUUUUAAAUGGAUGAACAUUUAUCUUUCAAUUUUAUACUGUAAGAAUAGAGCUGCAUAACAUUGUUGAACUUUCCGCUAAAGUAUAUGUAGUAUUAUUCGUAUUUAAAAUGAAAUACAAAACGAAACGUGUAUG